UACGAAGGGGGCUAGCGUUGCUCGGAAUCACUGGGCGUAAAGCGCACGUAGGCGGAUUGUUAAGUCAGGGGUGAAAUCCUGGAGCUCAACUCCAGAACUGCCUUUGAUACUGGCGAUCUUGAGUCCGGGAGAGGUGAGUGGAACUGCGAGUGUAGAGGUGAAAUUCGUAGAUAUUCGCAAGAACACCAGUGGCGAAGGCGGCUCACUGGCCCGGUACUGACGCUGAGGUGCGAAAAGCGUGGGGAGCAAACAGGG
rnacentral:rRNA from 1 species